UGGCAUACUAAUUUAUUGUAUUAUCUUAAUAUAUAGCUCAACUAAAUGUUAGCAUAAUGAAUUUCUUUUAUAGAUUUAUAAUAAUGCUCUGGAAGGACUGAUCAAGGAGCCUUUUUGAGUGUUUUAUGCUAGCAUGGGUAGAAUUUGAGAUUAUUAAAGCUAUAUAUUAUUCGUCAUCUUUGUUGUUUUCACUCUUAACUUGCCAUCUUUUUAGUGCUUAGAAGAAGAUAGACAUGUAAAGAGUUUUUGGUUCAUAGUUAAUGAGCCCGUCAGCGGUUACAGGAAUCAGAACCUUAAAAUCAUGUGUUUUUUAACUGAUUGUAGAUUGUAUUUGGGGCAUAUUAGAUGAAGUUUCAAAUGAAUUUCCAAUGUCUUUGUAGAUAUAAGGUCAAUUAUACUAUUACAGGGUCCUACAUGCUUCGUCAUAUGUGUUGUUUUUUGUGUGGAAUUAACAUCAUCUGUUUUUGUAUUAUCUGAAUAUACAACUUAUUGGAUGUUAACAUAAUGAAUGUUUUAUUACAGAGUUCUAAUAAUGCUAGCUCUGGCAGGACUGAUGAAGGAGCCUGUAUGAAUAUUUUAUGCUGGCAUGGGUGGAAUUUGACAUUGAUAUAUGUUUCCUCAUUUUGUUGUUUUCAAUUUCAACUUGCCAUCUUUUUAAUGCUUACAAGAAGAUAGACAACCUUAAAACCACAGUUGAGUAAUACUUUGUCAAUGCUCACCAUCACUUGUUCAAUUUCAGCUUAGAAUCUCUGUCCUUUUUCCAUGGAUACAACAAAUAAUCAGUUAACUGGCCCUUAUUGUCCGAAAGAAGUACUUUUUAUUUGGGCUCUGCCCGUACUCACUUUACUUGCCAUCCUUGCCAUUAUCAUCCGUUCCUUUUCCAUUAAGAAUCGAUGUCCUCCCAAAGAUACCACAAGUAAUCUCCAUUUAACUACCCCUCCUUUGUCCUCUUCUUCAUCUCCACCUACUAGCUGGGAUGUCUUCCUGAGCUUUUACGGAAAGGACACACGCAGAAACUUCAUAGCCAAUCUUUACUUUUCUCUGGAUCAAGCAGGAAUUCAGACCUUCAGAGAUGAUCCUUCACUUGAAAAGGGUGAAGAAAUAUCAAAGGGAUUACAUAAUGCAAUCAGAAGUUCAAAUAAGUUCGUUGUGGUUAUAUCAGAGAACUAUGCUCGUUCUCCAUGGUGCCUUGAUGAGCUCGUAGAGAUUCUUGAUUGCAAGAGAACAAACACUCAGGUUGUUCCUGUUUUUUACUAUGUUAAUCCAUCAGAUCUGCGGCACCUGAGAGGGAGUUUUAGGGAAGCUCUUGAUUUUCAUAAAAAACUCUACCCAGUUACUAAGAUAAAGAAGUGGAGAUCUGCUCUUGCUGAAAUCUCAGACCUAUCAGGAUACACUCUGAAAAAAGAUGCAGAUGAGAAUGAAUCGGACACCAUCCAAGAAAUUGUGGAGAACGUGGCCCUACAAGUCUCUACAAAAGUGUUACACCUCGAGGAAUGUCUAUUUGGGGUGGAUUCUGCUGUUGAAAAAAUAUAUAAAAAAGUAAACAUCAAGUCAGAUGAUUUCUGCACCAUUGGUUUAUGGGGGAUGGGCGGAAUUGGGAAAACUACGACCGCCAAAGCUUUCUUCAACAAAUAUUCAAAGGAUUUUGACAUCAGCUGCUUUGUUGAAAAUGUUAUACAAAAUUCAAAAGGAAGCAAUCCUCUGGUUUCUUUACUUGAGCAAUUACUAAGUGAGCUUCUCAAAAGGAAGGAUUAUAAGGUCCCUGAUGUUGAAAGGGGAACAAGACUAUUGAAACAAAUUCUUUCCUCUAAGAAAGCCCUCGUAGUUCUCGAUGAUUUGGACCAGUCAAAUCAUUCAGAGCUGCUUGUAUGGAUUUGCAACUUGUUUUCCGAUGGAAGUAGAAUCAUUGUUACGACAAGGGAUGUAAACCUGUUAUAUCAAUUGAGAGUGGAUAUUUCAAAAGUAUAUAUAUACAAGGUGAAGAAAUUGAGUCCAGAGGAAUCGUUAGAGCUCUUUAACUGUCAUGCCUUCAGGAAAGCAACACCACCCGAAAACUUAAGAGAGCUCUCAGUAAAGAUUGUUGAUUAUGUUGAAGGCCUUCCUUUGGCUCUUAAGGUUUUGGGUUCUUCUUUGCGUGGCAGAACUGACGUGUCAUUCUGGAAAGCUCAACUACAAAAAGUUCGAGUAAAUCCAGAAAUACAAAACAUCCUCAAAUUGAGCUAUGAUGGAUUAGGUGACAAGACGGAAAAGGCACUUUUCCUAGAUAUUGUAUUUUUUUUCAUCGGAAAGGAUAAGGACGAGGGUGCUCAUGUAUUCCGAUCUUGUAAUUUCUGUCCAGAAGCCGGUAUACCAAUUUUACUGGAAAGAUGUCUAAUAACAAUUGAUAAGAACAAUACAUUUCAGAUGCAUGCUCUUAUCCAAGACAUGGGGAAGGACGUUAUUCUUGAAGAAUCUAAACAUGGGAAGGCCAAGCGGCUGUACUUGUCUAAUGGAAAUCCAUGCCAUGCUUUGCAAAAUCUAGAGGGAACAGAUACAGUUGAAGGUCUCAUCUUAAUAAACCUAUCCAUGAUGGAAAGACAUGUAAGCGCCAAAAUAUUUGAAAGAUUUCUGAACUUGAGAUUACUUGAAAUAAUUGGUGCACUUGACAUCAAGGGGAAUUUUGAAAAUUCAUUUCACGAGUUAAGAUGCAUUCGAUGGUCUCACUGUCCGUGGACACAUAUACCUAUCAGUUUUCGUCCACGAAAGCUCAUUUCCCUUAUCAUGCCAUUCAACAAAUUCAAGACAUUGCCCAAGGGCAUCACGAAUUUGAAGACUAUAGAUUUCAGUUACUCAAAAAACCUAAAGAUUGCUGAUGAUUUUAGAGACGUAAGACUGGUUGACAAGUUACUACUUAAUAGUUGUCACAGGCUGCUAAAAAUCCACCCAUCGAUUGAACAGUUGACUACUUUGAGUCAUUUAGAUCUGGGUGAAUGUAAUAAUUUGAAAGAGUUGCCUGAGCAUGUUGGACGACUAAAUAAAUUGGGCCAUUUUGAUUUGCGUGACUGUCAAAGCCUUAAAAGACUGCCAGAGGCAGUCAAGAACUUGACUAGUUUGAGCUGCUUGAAUAUGAGUGGUUGUCACAGUCUGAAACAAUUGCCAGAACAAUUGGGUAAUUUGAAAGGCUUAAAGAUGCUGAAUUUGAGUCAUACCUCUAUUGAACAACUGCCUGAUACGAUUGCUCACCUCAAAGAAUUAAUUCGGUUGGAAAUUAUGGGGUGUAAAAAGCUUUUAAAGCUACCUGAGCAACUUGGGGACCUAAGAAGUUUAAAGGUUUUUGAUGCAACAUAUUGUGCAAUUGAACAGUUGCCAGACUCGUUCAGCAAUCUGACUGAUUUGGUUGACCUGCAGUUGCCUUAUUGCGAGAACCUUACUAGUCUUCCAAACAGCAUGUGGAAUUUGAAGAUGCUUGAAGAACUUAAUCUUGAAGGUUGUAAAAAUCUGGAGCGAUUGCCUGAGCAAUUGGGGAUGAUGCAACGCUUACAACAUCUUGAUGCAACUGGAACAGCAGUUGAAGAAAUACCAGGUUCUAUUGGACUGUUGAGCAGAUUAAAAAUUUUGAAUUGCAGAUGGUGCGAGAAGCUUGAAUAUAUCCCAAAUAGCAUUAGGAAUAUUCUAUCACUUGAGAUAUUAGAUUUAAUGGAUAGUGGCUUGUCAGCAGUUAACUUGCUUGAUACAGUAAAAAAUAUGAAAUGGAAAGGUUUAAGUCUUCAUUUAAGCCUGAGAUGUGAUAUAAAAUUAUUGCUGCCCGUGAUCUUAGAUAUCUCUUCUUUAGAAAGUCUAAGUCUUACUGAUGAGGGAGAGAGUUUCUUUUCUACCAAACCGUUUAGUCUUUCUAAGCUUUUCAACCUACAGUUUCUUGAAUUAGUGAAUUGUAGAAGUCUUGGAUCUUCCUUCCCGGAAGUCCCUCCGAAUUUAAGAGGGUUAACGGUAGGCAACUAUGCCACACUGGAACAACUACCUGAUUUAUCCGGCCUGAAACAGUUAAAGAGAUUGUCAAUGUGGAAUUGCAGCAGACUUCAAACACUUCCACCACUUCCACCUCAUCUUUUUUUACUAUAUGUUUAUGACUGCAGUAGCCUGCAAGAUUUACCAGAUCUGUCAAUGUUCAAAGAAUUGGAGUUAUUAAUGGUUCAGAAGUGCAGAAAUCUGGAAUCAAUCAAUUUAAAACAGAGCUCCGUUCAGGUAGGACUAAAAUCUUCAUUUGAAGCUUUUUUACCAAACACAAAGAUUGCUAGAUGGUUCAGCUACAAAAGCAAUGGAUGUAAUAUAUCUUUUGCUAUCCUGCCAAACUUCGGUGAUAACUUCUUAGGUUUUGCUCUCUGGUUUGUUUUUAGAUACAAAACCGAUAAGGGUGAUCCAGUCAUCAGAGUAGUUGUCAGAAACGAAACAGAAGGUUGUGAAUUAAAUUACCUCACCAGUGCAUUUGGUGAUACAGUGGGUUCGAGGGUAGAAUGCAUAAGGAGAGGUGUAAUGUCAGUUGGACUGGGGUCAAGGUUACAAUACAUAAUGAAAGGGCAAAAGAGCAUGCCAAUGAAAUGUGGAGAUAGAAUCAAGGUCUCAUUUCACAGCAUAUUGUCUUAUUUUGAUGGAUAUUAUGAAGAAAGACUUUGCAGAAAAGUGAAGGUGGAGAUGUGUGGGGCUCAUGUGAUAAAGAAAACACCUUCUCUCUUCUAGUGUCAAUUUAUAUCUGCUCUGAAGCAAAUGAAGGCAUUUGAGGUGUAGUUUGCUGCUAUUUUGAGCUGUAUGAAAUUCCUCAAGUACUGUGUCAAAAUCGGGUUAAAAAUGGUCACCGGAGUGAAGGACAUAUAUCAGUUUACUCACCAAUCUUGAUAAGGUAGGACUAAAAUCUUCAUUUGAAGCUGAUCCACCAAACACGAAGAUUGCAGAAUGGUUCAGCUACAAAAGCAAUAGAUGUACAAUAUCUUUUGAUAUCCCGCCAAACUUGGGUGAUAACUUCUUAGGUGUUGCUCUC